rnacentral:rRNA from 1 species
CGUCUAUAUACGUAUAGCAUAUCAAUAAGCGGAGGAAAAGAAACUAACUAGGAUUCCCUCAGUAACGGCGAGUGAAGCGGGAAGAGCUCAAAUUUGAAAUCUUCAAGGUUCUACCUUGACGAAUUGUAGUUUAAAGAAGUGUUUUCUGUUGGAGUUUUGGUAAAAGUUCUUUGGAAUAGGACAUCAUAGAGGGUGAGAAUCCCGUAUUUGACCAUUAUUUCCAACUUUGUGAUACACCUUCAAAGAGUCGGAUUGUUUGGGAAUGCAGUCCAAAAUGGGUGGUAAAUUUCAUCCUAAAGCUAAAUACUGGCGAGAGACCGAUAGCGAACAAGUACCGUGAGGGAAAGAUGAAAAGAACUUUGAAAAGAGAGUUAAACAGUACGUGAAAUUGUCAAAAGGGAAGCGUUUGACACCAGUGUUGUUUUCUCGAAAAUCAAUUAAAAAUGGCAUGGGAUUUUGUGUUGUAUUGACUUUAUCAGCUUUCUGCACUUUUUUCUUAUCUUUUUUAAUGCACUUUUCGUUUAACAAGUCAACAUCAAUUUCUUUUGUUGUAAAAGGGUCAUUGGAAGGUGGCUUUCUUUUCGGAGAAAGUGUUUAUAGCCUUUGGCCUCUGCAAUCGGAGAGAUUGAGGUCUGCAGCGUAGAUCCUUCGGGGUUAGAUGCAUUUGUGCUAAGUUAUAGCCUUUCAUAGACAACUUGUUGACUAUGAUCAGUCAUGUAGCUUACUCGCUUAUGUCAUUUUACCUACGCUUAGGAUGUUGACGAUCAGCUGAGCGCG